UUCGACCUCAAAUCAGGUA
rnacentral:rRNA from 1 species